rnacentral:tRNA from 1 species
UCCCUGGUGUCUCAACCGGUAAAGAAUCCACCUGCAAUGUGGGAGACCCAGGUUUGAUCCCUGGGUUGGGAA